rnacentral:misc_RNA from 1 species
GUGAGUCAUCGAAUCUUUGAACGCACAUUGCGCCCUCCGGUAUUCCGUUGGGCAUGCCUGUUCGAGCGUCAUUUAAACCUUCAAGCUAAGCUUGGUGUUGGGUGCUUGUCCUCCCCAGUGGGGGACUCACCUCAAAUGCAUUGGCGGCCGGUAUGUUGGCUUCGAGCGCAGUAGAAACGCGCCUGGUGUCUUGACGUACUGGUCCUCCACAAGCCCUUUAUUAUCUUGACCUCGGAUCAGGUAGGGAUACCCGCUGAACUUAAGCAUAUCAAUAAGCGGAGGA